UAUGGUCGGUUUAUGUGAUGUGUUUGUGUCACCAUAAAAAGCUGAUAUUCAGUCGUGUUUUUUGAUAUUUUUGUUAUUUUGUAAUCGAGUACCUUUUUAAAGGUCUAAUGGCUCCCAUCAGGUGUUGUGUGCAGACGGUGGAAAAAUUCAACGAGUAAACAUAUAUUUAAUCCAAAUUAAAUACUCAUAUUUCUAUGUAAAAUGUCACAUUAUUGUAUAAAUAAAUAAUUAAGAAACAAAA